GAUGAACGCUGGCGGCGUGCCUAAUACAUGCAAGUCGAGCGAACAGAUGAGGAGCUUGCUCCUCUGACGUUAGCGGCGGACGGGUGAGUAACACGUGGAUAACCUACCUAUAAGACUGGGAUAACUUGGGGAAACCGGAGCUAAUACCGGAUAAUAUAUUGAACCGCAUGGUUCAAUAGUGAAAGACGGUUUUGCUGUCACUUAUAGAUGGAUCCGCGCCGCAUUAGCUAGUUGGUAAGGUAACGGCUUACCAAGGCAACGAUGCGUAGCCGACCUGAGAGGGUGAUCGGCCACACUGGAACUGAGACACGGUCCAGACUCCUACGGGAGGCAGCAGUAGGGAAUCUUCCGCAAUGGGCGAAAGCCUGACGGAGCAACGCCGCGUGAGUGAUGAAGGUCUUCGGAUCGUAAAACUCUGUUAUUAGGGAAGAACAAAUGUGUAAGUAACUAUGCACGUCUUGACGGUACCUAAUCAGAAAGCCACGGCUAACUACGUG
rnacentral:rRNA from 1 species